UACGUAGGGGGCAAGCGUUGUCCGGAAUCAUUGGGCGUAAAGAGCGCGUAGGCGGUCCGAUAAGUCGGCUGUGAAAGUCAGGGGCUCAACCCUUGGAAGCCGGCCGAUACUGUCGGACUAGAGUCCGGAAGAGGCGAGUGGAAUUCCCGGUGUAGCGGUGAAAUGCGCAGAUAUCGGGAGGAACACCAAUAGCGAAGGCAGCUCGCUGGGACGGUACUGACGCUGAGGCGCGGAAAGCG
rnacentral:rRNA from 1 species